rnacentral:rRNA from 1 species
UACGUAGGGGGCAAGCGUUGUCCGGAAUCAUUGGGCGUAAAGCGCACGUAGGCGGCUUGGUAUGUCGGGUGUGAAAUCCCUCGGCUCAACCGAGGACGUGCAUCGGAAACUGCGGGGCUUGAGUACUGAAGAGGAUCGCGGAAUUCCCGGUGUAGAGGUGAAAUUCGUAGAUAUCGGGAGGAACACCAGUGGCGAAGGCGGCGACCUGGGCCAAUACUGACGCUGAGGUGCGAAAGCGUGGGGAGCAAACAGG